GACGAACGCUGGCGGCGUGCUUAACACAUGCAAGUCGAACGAAGUGGCGAACGGGUGAGUAACGCGUAAUCAACCUGCCCUUCAGAGGGGGACAACAGUUGGAAACGACUGCUAAUACCGCAUACUGAAGGAGGGGAUUGCGUCUGAUUAGCUAGGGGGAGGGGUAAGGGCCCACCAAGGCGAUGAUCAGGAGCCGGUCUUGGAGGGGUAACGGCCAAAUUGGGACCGGGACAAGGCCCCGAAUUCUAAGGGAAGCAGCAAGGGGGAAACUUUCGCCAUGGACGAAAGUCUGGCGGGGCAAAGCCGCGGGAGGGAUGACGGCCUUCGGGUUGUAAAGCUCUGUUAAUCGGGACGCGGUACCUGAAUAGAAAGCCACGGCUAACUACGUGCCAGCAGCCGCGGUAAUUC
rnacentral:rRNA from 1 species